CACUUUCCUCCACCAUUGGCAGAUGUGCCAUCAGUCACGUCUUCACACUCUGGAAUUCCCUCCACCUCUACAUCUUCUUUCUGGCCCUUCUUAAAAGCCACUUUGCUGGGCCAGGCUAUUGGUCAUCCCUGGCAUCAUUUCCUUCGGCUCAAUGUAAAUUUGUCUGCAUGCCUUUGUGAGAUGUCUUGGGUUGUUUUUCUUCCAUGUUUAAAAGGCCUAAAUGGGUGCAAGUCCUCGUCACUGAUUCGUGUUUCAGUCUGAAACGAGCAUUUGGCCUCUUCCAGUCAGCUGCUAUUAAAUGAGGCCUGAGGCUGAAGUUCCCUAGCAACUAAAUACCUUGAUCAAGUUAUUAUCUAAUGGUGAUGAUAAUGGGUAAUGUGAGGUUGGUACUGCUUCAGAAAUUAAUGAUCUCUUUGCCUCAGGUGGAUCUGAACCCAGGUACGGCAGAUGAAAAACCACGGCUGAGCUCCCUGCCUUAGGUCUAGUUAAAUUAACCAUAAUGACUGUAUGUGUUACAGUUCAUUCUCCUGUGGGCGUAUCGCUUUACAUGCUCAGUCGUAUGCCAUCUUUACAGUACAUUGUAUGAACUUCAUCUUCAUAUCAUAUUGCAUAAAUGAAUAUUAAAGGAAUUAGUUGUCUGGGUAACGCUACACUGGAACCAGUUUUGCCCCAAAUGGGUCAGACUGUCACUCUCACUGUUCUAAAAAUGAUCACCUGCACUACAUUUAAUAAUUGAAAAUUGGAAAAAUUCUAAACAUUGUAUUAAAUAUAAGCUUGGUUUUGGGAAUAACAAGGCAUAAAGCUAUUGGACUGUCAAACUGGUGACAUAAUGAUAUGUUUAAUUGAACUACAUAGUUACAACCUAAGGCUGCAAAGGACUUCACAUAAUGUCUCUGCUGGGUUUGUGGUACUUUAUGCCAUUGAUAAGACGCCCUUAGUCUAAUAGUGUACAUUUGAUACUGUGGGACAUUCCAAGGUUUACAUGCUACUUUGCUCAUGUUUGACUGGAUUGGUCAUUGAUUGUGAGAUGCUGGAAUGCUGCUGAUAUCCACGGAAACUUAUCCCAGUCAAUGCUUUCAGGAUAACUCAAAGAAAAAGCCAGGGGCUGGCUUACCUGAGGAUCCCAAAUUUGACCUGUGCCCUAAACAUGAACCAGAUGCAUCUGUGCCCAUUAGUCCAUGACUCAGUGUUCACCUUAUUUUGCCCCUGACCUUACUUUGGUCGAUCAGAAUAGUGAGUUUCCCAGGGUUUUUGGGUGCUCUCUGUUUGUCACACAGACCCCAGGGUAAGUCAGCCUGAGCUUGUGUCCAACUUUCCUCCUCCCUCCAGCCCACCACCCCAACACAUUCAACAAAUGCUGCGUUCCUUGGGGAAAUUCUCAGGGUGCCACAUUCAGCCCAUGAAAAAGUCUCACGUGAGGCAUCUAGCUGCUGGGACAAGAAGAUUUCUGCAGUUUAUAUAAGUCAGUCAGCCGUCUGGAAGGGAAAGAUAGAUUAACGCAAUUUGCAGUAAUACGUCAUGGGCUCUGCAACCAACCUGUUACCAAUGGCCACCAUUCCUGGCUUCGUCGCUAACACAUUGUCAACAUAGAUGGACCAGCAGCUGUUUACGUGGCUGUGGUAUAAACAACGGAUCACAUAAUGUAAUGUGUCGUGAAUACUGCAACUGAACGAUCAAUGCUCGCCAUUUCUUGUUUCGUGUCAACCCACUGCUCCCUGGACUAGCGACUCCUGACGUGGCUGUGGUGUGAACAGCAGAUCGCAUUAUGGUGCUGUUAGGUGUGAGAAUGCCCUCUCUUGGACAGCUGCGAUAGCCUGUUGCUCACCUUUUCCUGUACUCUGUAAUACUUACUCAGUAAUCCUGUCUUUGUAAAGUUUCCAAUCAUGACUAGGUGGUGGUUUUGAUAUUUCUGUGUUUGUUUGUGGAAAAUUUCGGACUGUUUAAAAAAAAUCCACAUUCUUGUCAUUUUUUUUUUAAAAAAGGUGUUGUUUGGAUCUCCUUCUGCUGUCUCUCAAAUCUGGGAGAGAGGAAAAUGAAUAAUCCAGGAGCUGGUAUAAAAUUUCAAAGGCUUCCCUUUUUCAAAGGACCAUACAGUGCACAAGGAGGCUGUUUGGCUCUUUGUACGUAUGCUGACUCUUUGAAAGAGCUGUCCAUUUAGCUUCAUUUCCCCUGAUCUUUCAUGUUCCCUUCCAAUUUUUUUUCCUUUAUUUAUCCAAUUCCCUUUUGGAAGCUACUAUUUAUCAGCUUCCAGCAUCUUUGCUGGCAGCAUAUUCCAGAUCAGAACAACUUGCUCCCCUCUGAUUCUUUUUAUUAUUACUUAUCAAUUACUUACCUUAGAUUUGUGUUCUAUGAUUAUCAACCUUCCUGCCAGCGGAAACAGUUUUUUCUUAUUUACUCUAUCAAUACCCUUCAUAAUUUUGAGCAAUUAAAGCUACUCUUAACUCCCUUUGCUCUGGGGAAGAUGAUCCCGGCUUCUCUGAGUCCUCCAUUGAGCUGAAUUCCUUCAUCCUUGGUACCAUUCUAAUACAUCUCUUCCACACCCUCUCUGAGGCUUAAAGACACUUUCUAAAGUGUGGUGCCAGAAUUGGACGCAGUGCUCCAGCUGAGGCCUAACCAGUGUUUAAUCAAAUAAAUAAUCCCUACUGCAUUUUUUUAGAGAAUUGCUGUCAGGAGAAAUUUAGCAUAACCUCCUGGCUUUUGACUGGAUAAUGGAUGUGGGCUACAGGGUUGAUCUUGUUCAGUACAAUUUAGAUACACUUGAGGCCAUGGGCAUUGAUCAACUUGGGGGCAAGGGAAUUAACAGUGUGUUGGGUUUGUAGGGGAACCUCUACUUUUAAAAGAAUCUGAUUUUCCUUUCAUUCAUUUACAUGGAGGGAUAUUGGGUGUAGAGAGUCUGUUACAAGUGUACUGUCCAAACUGUGUAAUUUAAUGGUAUUCACUGUGCUCAGAUUAUCCAGAAAAUAAACAAUCCCUACUGCAUUUGUGAAGCUUUAUAGUAUUUAGCUGAUCAACGCCCAACAUAUCAUUCCUCUCUUUUUAUUUUUAGCUAAAUGCCUGUAUAAUUUUUCCUAAAUAUGUUUACUUUUUUAAAAAAAAAUACAGAUUGGACAAUCUCACCCCAGGUUUUAGUGGGUGAGGGCAAUAUCUUGUUUCUAAUUGGGCGUUGGCAUUCUCACUGGAGGGUGGGGUGGGAGGUGAACGGCUGGGAUGGGAAAUGGGAGGAAGAUCUGUUGAAGCAGCGAGUGGUGAUGGUGUAGAGUUUGGGGUGGGACGGGAACACAUAUUGGUGGGGGCUGUGUGAAGUGGGAUUUUAACCCUCUGUGUGCUGGAGCUGAGAGUACUCGAGGCCAAUACUGCUGGUUUUUUUUAGAGAAUUGUUGUCAGGAGAAAUUUCACUUCUUCGUGGGUGCAAGACUCACUCCAAAAAACCCCUCUGGAUUUGUAGGUAAAAAUGCCAUAUUUUUUCAUAUUAUCCAUUUAAUAAUAUUCUCACAAUCCUGUGUAUAUGUUUUCCCACCUCCCCACCACCCCGUUCUAGUAUUUUUCCAGUUUGACCUGCACUAAUUUAACCAACCAUUACUGGCUUGAUUAUUCCUCUCUCUCUCUCUCUCUCUCUCACUCUCUUUCUGUCUCUGUUGUGUUGUCUCUCUCUCUCUUACUUUCAGGCAAACUAAGUGGUAGUCCCUUGAGAAGUGGGAGCCCAGUGUCCCUAUUUGAAAUUCUAGUCUGUUUUUGCUUGCUGUGCAUCGAGUCUCUUCAGCAUUCUGUCCAUUCUGAAAUGAUACGAUAUAAAUAUAUAUAUCACAUGCUCUAAUGUCUGCAUAAUUUGCUGUUGCAUAUAUCCAGGAAGUAUUGCUCCUGCUGUAUAAUUCUUCUAUUUUUUGGCUCUGUAAUAAACAUUCAGUAACAGUGUGACUUCCGUGUGUUAAUGUGUGUGUCAGGGAGAAACAAUGAACCUGUCAUGCUCCUGUGUAGCGUUUUAGAUUAACUCAAACCGUGAUGGUAUAUAUUAAUAAAUAAAUAUCUGGUAUACAGGCAUUUGAUUUGAAAUAUAUGUAUAUGAUAUUCAUGGUGAAAUAAAUCUGAUGUUAAAGUUGUAUUUAUGCUUUGAAAGUGACCUGUGGCAAAUACAAAAAUGACAUAUCUGUGUAAUCAAAGCCUCCUCUAUUUAAAUAAAGCUGUGUCUUUGUGGA